rnacentral:rRNA from 1 species
GACGAACGCUGGCGGCGUGCUUAACACACGCAAGUCGAACGGAAAGGCCCUGCUUUUGUGGGGUGCUCGAGUGGCGAACGGGUGAGUAACACGUGAGUAACCUGCCCUUGACUUUGGGAUAACUUCAGGAAACUGGGGCUAAUACCGGAUAGGAGCUCCUGCUGCAUGGUGGGGGUUGGAAAGUUUCGGCGGUUGGGGAUGGACUCGCGGCUUAUCAGCUUGUUGGUGGGGUAGUGGCUUACCAAGGCUUUGACGGGUAGCCGGCCUGAGAGGGUGACCGGCCACAUUGGGACUGAGAUACGACCCAGACUCCUACGGGAGGCAGCAGUGGGGAAUAUUGCACAAUGUGCGGAAGCCUGAUGCAGCAACGCCGCGUGCGGGAUGACGGCCUUCGGGUUGUAAACCGCUUUCGCCUGUGACGAAGCGUGAGUGACGGUAAUGGGUAAAGAAGCACCGGCUAACUACGUG